UUAUGAACGUGGGACUUAAUUGAUUGGUUAUCAGGGUCAAUAUGGCAGAGCCAAUGGUUACGGACUGCUUGAUAUGUAAUAAGAAAUGGUUAUAUUGUAUAUAAGUAGAUAAUCUACAUCGGAUAUCUAAAACAAUAUAAUAGAAACAUGAUGCUGUUGAGGUCACUAGCUGUUGUGCUCACAUUUAUGACUGAAAUUCAUUAUUGUAAAUCACAGACACAAGCAAGCAGUGAUGCCUAUGACAAACAGGCCCAUCAGUUAUGUCAACAUUCAUGUGGCAACAGUAACAUUCUGACAGAUUUGUGUUUGUGUGAUAUUGAAAUUCCUUGUACUAAGUCUUGUGAACUAGGAACACAUUGUAAAGUGAUGCCAAAUUCUGUAAUACCGAGGACUAUGUGCUGUCCGGAUAGAAGUGGACGUGUGUUUGACUAUUGUCAUCACACAGUGUUAAGAUUAUCUCACUAUGGCUUUCCAUAUAUAACAGUAUAUAAGUUUGAUGAUAGUACUGGACAAUGUGUGAGUCGGGUGGUGAAAAGGCGGGACAACCUAAUAGUAAAUGGAUAUAAGUCGAUCUAUAGUUGCCAAGUGUGUUCUAAAUUCAAAAUGUGUGCAAAAAGUUCGAAUAGCGGCCUGGGUUUUCAAGGUACAGAGAACAACCGAUCUGUAAUUAAACGAACUAUACUUCUUCAGUGGUCUAACAAAUCACCGGAUCAUCCUAUGGGGAGAGUAACAGACCAGCGACAAAUUAAUGGGGUGCUUGAAAUGGCAAAACUUCACCCAUCUCCCUUCUACAGUAAAUCGGCGCUGGUUCACUAACCAGGAAAUCCGGGGUUGGCAGAUAAAAUUCCCGGUAUUUUCCAACCUGAUUUCCCAUUGUCUAAUCGUAUAGAUUGGACGAAAACCCGAGCUCCCGCGUUCUCUGUGGUGUGCACGUAAAAGAACCGAUGACAUAUGGAAUUCAAUAGCUGUCCGGGCAAAGCUUUCCCUGACUGUAUGGCGUAUGCCCGUGUGCAUUAGCCCUGGUUGGACAUUAAAUUCCGUUGCAUUGUAUUUCUAACUAAACUAUACAUUUAUAAUUACGAAAAGUUUAUAAAAUAAAAUUUGAUUAUGUUUUAUUAUUGUCAUAUCAUCAUUUCAU